rnacentral:misc_RNA from 1 species
GAAAUGCGAUAAGUAAUGUGAAUUGCAGAAUUCAGUGAAUCAUCGAAUCUUUGAACGCACCUUGCGCUCCUUGGUAUUCCGAGGAGCAUGCCUGUUUGAGUGUCAUUAAAUUCUCAACCUUCCAGCUUUUGUUAGCUUGGUUAGGCUUGGAUGUGGGGGUUGUUGGCUUCAUUAAUGAGGUCAGCUCUCCUUAAAUGCAUUAGCGGAACUUUUGUGGACCGUCUAUUGGUGUGAUAAUUAUCUACGCCGUGGAUGUGAAGCAGCUUUAUGAAGUUCAGCUUCUAAUCGUCCAUUGACUUGGACAAUUUUUGACAAUUUGACCUCAAAUCAGGUAGGACUACCCGCUGAACUUAA